ACGUAUCGCCUCUCCUAUUAGGUUAUUUCAGGUUAAUUGGUCCCGUGCAGGUGUGGUCACAGGUAUAAGGGCCUUCGUAGAUGUGGCCCAGCCCUCGGUUUUGGGUAAUUCGUUAUAGCUUAGUUUUAUCGUGUUAUUUCUGUAUUCCCGGUAUUAAAGGACUUGCUAUGCCUAUUUCCAUGUAUAUUCUGGUUAAUUGAUAUAUUCUCAGGUGUGUCGGCGGAUAAAACGGAUCUCAUAUCGGUUUGGCCUGUCACAUUCCCUUACCAACCAUCUCGCGAAUACCAAAUAGCUGUCACUUCUACCUUGGCAGCGUUCCAGGUGUUAUAAGGGGAACUAGCCUUGUUUUCACCUGUAUUUCGGUUGAUUAGUGUAUCUCAGGUGUGUUUUCAGGUGUAUUGAGACUUUCCUUUCCCUCUUCUUCUUUUCCGCUCUUCAAAAUGCUGUUCAACGAUGUAAAAAGGUGGAUUAGUCUCGUUUUUACCUGUAUUUUCGGUUGAUUAGUGUAUCUCAGGUGUGUUUUCAGGUGUAUUGAGACUUUUCUUUCUCUCUUAUUCUUUUCCGCUCUUCAAAAUGCUGAUCAAGGAUGUAAAAAGGUGAAUUAGUCUCGUUUUUACCUGUAUUUUCGGUUAAUUAGCGUCUCUCAGGUGUGUUUUCAGGUGUAUUGAGACGUUUCUUUCCCUCUUCUUCUUUUCCGCUCUUCAAAAUGCUGUUCAAGGAUGUAAAAAGGUGGAUUAGUCUCGUUUUUACCUGUAUUUUCGGUUAAUUAGCGUCUCUCAGGUGUGUUUUCAGGUGUAUUGCGACUUUUUCUUUCCUUCUUAUUCUUUUCCGCUCUUCAAAAUGAUGUUCAAGGAUGUAAAAAGGUGGAUUAGUCUUGUUUUCACCUGUAUUUCGGUUAAUUAGUGUAUCUCAGGUGUGUUUUCAGGUGUAUUGAGACGUUUCUUUCCCUCUUCUUCUUUUCCGCUCUUCAAAAUGAUGUUCAAGGAUGUAAAAAGGUGGAUUAGUCUCGUUUUUACCUGUAUUUUCGGUUAAUUAGUGUAUCUCAGGUGUGUUUUCAGGUGUAUUGAGACUUUUCUUUCCUCCUUAUUCUUUUCCGCUCUUCAAAAUGCUGUUCAAGGAUGUAAAAAGGUGGAUUAGUCUCGUUUUUACCUGUAUUUCGGUUAAUUAGUGUAUCUCAGGUGUGUUUUCAGGUGUAUUGAGACUUUUAUUUCCCUCUUCUUCUUUUCCGCUCUUCAAAAUGAUGUUCAAUGAUGUAAAAAGGUGAAUUAGUUUCGUUUUUACCUGUAUUUCGGUUAAUUAGUGUCUCUCAGGUGUGUUUUCAGGUGUAUUGAGACUUUUCAUUUCCCUUAUAUUAUUUUCGUCUCUUCAAAAAACUGUUAGGCUAUUCUGUCUUUUUAGGUUAUUUCAGAGGUGUUUCAAGGUGUAAGGAGGUGGAUUAGUUUUGUUUUCACCUGUAUAUAAGUUAAUUAGUGUCUAUCAGGUGUUUUCAGGUAUAUUGAGCCUCUUCCCUUCCCUAUUAUUCGUUUAGCCCAUUCAAAGUAACUUAUUCUUUCUGUCGUAGCUUAUUUCAAAGGUGUGAAAAGGUUAAUUACUCUUUUUUUACCUGUAUAUCGGUUAAUUAAUGUCUGUCAGGUGAAUUUCCAGGUGUUAGAGGCUUUUAAUUUCCCUUUUAUUCUAUUCAUCUCUUCAAAAUGCAGAAAUUCUAUCUCCCGUAGCUUAUUUCAGUAGUGUUAUAAGGUCUUAAAAGGUGAAUUAGUCUUGUUUUUACUUGUAUAUAAGUUAAUUAGUGUGUCAGGUAAGUUUCCAGGUAAUAUAAGUGCUUUUUCCUUUCCCUUUUAAUACUUUCGAGGAAACUUUCAAGGAUUGUCUGUUUCUACCUCCUGCAACCUUUUCAGUAGUGUUCUAAGGUAUCAAAAAGGUUAAUUAGUCUUCUUUUAACGUAUUUUUAAGUUAAUUGGCAUACUACAGGUAAGUUCCCAGGUGUAGUGUGACUUUUCUUUCCUUAUUCUUCUUCAGCAAAAUUUUCAAAGGCUGUCACUCUCUACCGAAGCUUUUAAUACUGUUCUAAAGGGAGUUAUUCUUAUUUCCACGUGUGUUUCGGUUAAUUAAAAUCAUACAGGUAAAUUCUCAGGUGUAACGUGACUUUUCUUUCCUUAUUCUUCUUCAGCAAAAUUUUCAAGGGCUGUCACUCUCUACCGAAGCUUUUAAUACUGUUCUAAAGGGAGUUAUUCUUAUUUCCACGUGUGUUUCGGUUAAUUAAAAUCAUACAGGUGAAUCCUCAGGUGAAGUGACGUUGAUCUUUCCUUUUUCUUCUUCUUCAGCAAAAUUUUAAAGGGCUGUCACUCUCUACCGAAGCUUUUAAUACUGUUCUAAGGGGAGUUAUUCUUAUUUCCACGUGUGUUUCGGUUAAUUAAAAUCAUACAGGUGAAUUCUCAGGUGAAGUGACGUUGAUCUUUCCUUUUUCUUCUUCUUCAGCAAAAUUUUAAAGGGCUGUCACUCUCUACCGAAGCUUUUCAAUACUGUUCUAAGGUGUUACAAGGUGAGUUAUUCUAGUUUCCACGUGUAUUUAGGUUAAUCAGCAUCAUACAGGUAAAUUUCCAGGUGUAGAGAGCAUUUUCCUAUCCCUUUUUUUCUUAUGCAACUAGAUAAUCAAGGGCUAUCUAUCUCACGCAGUCCUUUCAAUAGCGUUUCUUAGGGGUUACAAGGCGAGAUAUUCCUAUUUUCACGUAUAUUUAAGUUAAUUAGUAUCCCCCCAGGUGAGUUCCCCAGGUGUAAGGGGCCUAAGGGGUGCGCUAUGCCCCCUGUGUGAGUAUUUAAAUUUCUCUCAUGCCUCGCUCCCUCCCCGCCCCGUCGUCUGCAUCCCAAAACGAGUCUCGCCAACCAGCCUCAGAAAUGUAUAUAAAAAUGCUAUUACAGAGGGCAAUAUAUACUUUUUAGGGUUGUUAAUUUAUAUAUUGCUACUAUUACGUCACUUUUCCCCAUCCUAGUAGCAUUUAAAGGGGAAAAAAUAAAAAUCUAUAGCUGUCUCGUAUAUAAAAUGUGUAUGAUAGUGAGGAAUAUAUAGUUUUAAUGGUUGGUGAUUUAUAUAUUUUUACGAUAAUAACCACUUUGCCUUUUCUAGCUGUAUUUUACGGUAUGUAUAUAAAGGGGGCAUGUAUAUAAAGUUCGUAUGAUGGCGAAUAUAGAUUUUCCAGGUUUGGUAAUUUAUAUACAUUUCCUAGAACGCCUUUUAGUCUAUUUUGGUAACAUUUAACCCCCAAAAAAGUGUAUAUAGCUGUUCUGCAAUAUAUACAAUGUAAAAAAUAUAUAUUAAUAAAGUUUUUUUGGCUUCAUAAUUUACGUAUUUUUACUAUAACACCUUUUUUCCCUUCCAAUAGUAUCUAAAAUUUACUAUAAAUACUAUCAAUAAAAUGUGUAAUGAUAUGGAAGAGCAAAAAGUUAGGUAGAGGUCACAAGCCUUCCUUAUCUAUAUAGCUAUGCAUCUAACCUCAUUACCUCGUUCUAUGGGUUAAAUAAAUAUAUAAAUACUCUUAUUCUUUCAUUCCACAAGCCCUCACAGUCUAUUUCUUGCCUUAGUUCACUGCCACCAUUAAAUUUCACCUAUCCCAAUCCCUUAUGCAAGAGUUAACCAGCACCAUCGAUCUUUCAUCCCUUUCUGUAAUAAUACGGAAAAAAUUAUAGACCUGAAAAUAUGAAUAAAACUUAAUAUGUAUAAUUUUCCUGCCUAUCCCAAUCCCUUAUGCAAGAGUUAACCAGCACCCUCGAUCUUUCAUCCCUUCCUGUAGUAGUAUGGAAAGAAU